rnacentral:tRNA from 1 species
AAGAACUUAAUUAAAUUAAUAAUAUAGAAUUGUCAUUUCUAAUUUAUCCUUAUUGGAUAGUUCUUA